UACGAAGGGGGCUAGCGUUGCUCGGAAUCACUGGGCGUAAAGCGCACGUAGGCGGAUCCUUAAGUCGGGGGUGAAAUCCUGGAGCUCAACUCCAGAACUGCCUUUGAUACUGAGAAUCUUGAGUAUGGGAGAGGUGAGUGGAACUGCGAGUGUAGAGGUGAAAUUCGUAGAUAUUCGCAAGAACACCAGUGGCGAAGGCGGCUCACUGGCCCGAUACUGACGCUGAGGCACGAAAGCGUGGGGAGCAAACAGG
rnacentral:rRNA from 1 species